UGUCCCAGCUCCUCUCUUAACACAUUCUAGAGAAAGAGCCCAUGCUGAAGAGAAGCUACAAACCUCCCCUGACACCAGCAUGAGCACCAGAUUCCUCUAUUAUGUGACCUGCUAUCUCCUGGGGACAGUCCCCUUGGAUGCUGGAGUCACCCAGACCCCGUUACAUCUAAUCACAAGGACUGGACAUAAUACGAGUCUGAGAUGCAAGCAGAAUUUGGGUCACAAUACUCUGUACUGGUAUCGACAGGACUCCAAGAUGGGACUUCGGAGGACACAGCCACAUAUCUCUGUGCCAGCUCUGUAGGCACAGCA